UGGGGAAUCUUGGACAAUGGGGGCAACCCUGAUCCAGCCAUGCCGCGUGGACGAUGAAGGCCCUAGGGUUGUAAAGUCCUUUCGCCGGGGAAGAUAAUGACGGUACCCGGUAAAGAAACCCCGGCUAACUCCGUGCCAGCAGCCGCGGUAAUACGGAGGGGGUUAGCGUUGUUCGGGAUUACUGGGCGUAAAGCGCGCGUAGGCGGAUCUUUAAGUCGGGGGUGAAAUCCCGGGGCUCAACCCCGGAACUGCCUUCGAUACUCAGGAUCUUGAGGUCGAGAGAGGUGAGUGGAAUUCCGAGUGUAGAGGUGAAAUUCGUAGAUAUUCGGAGGAACACCAGUGGCGAAGGCGGCUCACUGGCUCGAUUCUGACGCUGAGGUGCGAAAGCGUGGGGAGCAAACAGGAUUAGAUACCCCGGUAGUCC
rnacentral:rRNA from 1 species